AGUGAACGCUGGCGGUAGGCCUAACACAUGCAAGUCGAACGGCAGCACAGUAAGAGCUUGCUCUUACGGGUGGCGAGUGGCGGACGGGUGAGGAAUACAUCGGAAUCUACUUUUUCGUGGGGGAUAACGUAGGGAAACUUACGCUAAUACCGCAUACGACCUACGGGUGAAAGCAGGGGAUCUUCGGACCUUGCGCGAUUGAAUGAGCCGAUGUCGGAUUAGCUAGUUGGCGGGGUAAAGGCCCACCAAGGCGACGAUCCGUAGCUGGUCUGAGAGGAUGAUCAGCCACCCUGGAACUGAGCCACGGUCCAGACGCCUACGGGAGGCAGCAGUGGGGAAUAUUGGACAAUGGGCGCAAGCCUGAUCCAGCCAUCCCGCGUGGGUGAAGAAGGCCUUCGGGUUGUAAAGCCCUUUUGUUGGGAAAGAAAAGCAGCAGGUUAAUACCCCGCUGUUCUGACGGUACCCAAAGAAUAAGCACCGGCUAACUUCGUG
rnacentral:rRNA from 1 species